GAUAGAGAGAUUCAGGAUAACCUUCAACUUUGUCAUCAAGAUCGAUCUUGAUCAAAAUUCGGACAACUAGAUAGCUAUUAGUUCGGUUCUCGGAUUAUAGGUUGUGAGGUUGCAGUGUGCCAAACUUGAUCGGCUUGCACUUCAUCUAGAUUCUCAUAUUGCUUCAUCCUCCAUGGCAUGUUAACAAGCAAUGGGAAGAUUUGAUUCUAUCAGAGUUUGUUCAGGUUUUUAGAUUUGGUACUAUUGGUACUAAAGAUGGUAAACCAGUGAAUAAAUUGACUAAGAAGCAUACUUAUGUUGCAGAACCAUUUUCUGGUAAUCUACAUUGUAAAAAGAAAAUUCCAACAAGAAGAUAAUUACGUUAUCAAAACUAAACUUACUGAUGAGCAUGUUCAAGGUAUCAGCACGACUGCAACAUCAAACGACUACAUUUUAGUGAUUUUACCUUCUUUUUGCAUUUCUAUUCUGAAACUUCAAGUAAGAAUUACUUAGCAAGACUUGACUGUUAUUUAAUACUGUAAUUGUUGUUUUCUGUUGUACCAUUACUUUUGCAGGCUUUUCACCUUUUGGAUAUAUGUUUUCUUUGGGAUUCUUCUCUCAACAGCGUCUUCCUUAGCCAGCCAAAGAAUAGACGAUGACCAAAGUUCAUUUAUCUAAUGUGCAGCAGUUAUAUAUGCUGGAAAUCAUGUGCUUCACAAUUAUCUGUGAUUCCAGGUCUUGGUUGCAUUGAUAACUUCUCACGCUACAAGCUGCUAGCAAAAGUGCUGAGUUCUUGGACAAUUGAGGAAGUUGAGGAGGGAAACUUCAUAUAUAAGCUUCAAACGUUCUUCAAAUACUCCAUGGCUGGAGGGACGGAAUUUCCACUCUGCAAAGCUAAGGUGAUGACCUUUCAGAUCAGUAUACAAAUGAGCUUCGGGGCUGUUGUAUAAAGUGUUAAAUGAACAUAUGAAAGAUUUGUUUGAAACUGAAAACUUUUUUUGAUUAUUGUUAGUUGUUAGGUCACUUAAAACAACAGAUAUUGAUAAUUGUUAUACUGUUAUACACCCCUAAAUGCAGUUAUUUGUCUAUACAAGGGGUUUUAUUUGUAAUAAUAGUAAGUACCGCGGCAAAGCGCGGGUAAAUUUUCUAGUUAUACAUAUAUUGAAAGGUGAGUUCACUGUUACUACUGUUCAUCAAGGGGUGGAGAAGACGUUUUCGUCCCUGCUUUCCUGUUAUAUUGCAGGAGUGAGUGCUGCUUGAGAUGAUGUCAUCUGGGCAUAUGGGUCUUUUUACAGGAAUUGACUCUUUUGCCCUUGGUUUGCUGUUAUAAUUUCAGGUUUGUACUGCUUGCUGAGACGAUGUUGGCUGGGCAUAUGCGUCUUUACGUAUGGGAAGAUGCCUUAGUGCUUCUGGAGGUUUCUUUAGAAUUCCAAAUCGCUCUUGCUCUCACUCGAAUCAACAAAUUUCUCUCGGUCUCCUCGCACAGAAAUCCAAAACCAACCUGGAUAUACCAUAUGCUUCAGGAGGUUUCUUCUUUCUUCUACAGCCAAAGAAUUGACUUGCGCCGGUUUCUUCUUUCUUCUUUAGCCAUAUAACCAAGAUUGAGAGAGUGGAUUGUUGCUCCUGCAAAUCAUUCCUUGCUUUUGAUCUGCGAAUUUCUAUUUGGUUCCUGCAGUCCCCUUUUUUUUUCCCUUUUCUCGCUCUCCUCACCGUGAACUCUUUACCUGAUUUCUUCAAAUCAGUGUAUAUGUGAUUGAUCUAGGAAUUGGGCUCUGGCUCUGCUAUUGCAGUAAGUAUCAAAACCAGGGACUCAGGUAGGUUUGAUGAGUCUUUUUCGUGAAAGAUUUGUUGGGUUGUUUGUGAUUGUUUGGUUCACUGUUGAAUCCCAAGGUUUGAGUUUUUUUUUUUUAUCUGGGUUUUGUUCUUCUGCUGUUAACGUUUGAAUCUAUCGCAUUCGAGAAGCCUCCAUCGCUAUCUAGAGUUCCUGUUAACGGACAACAGGCUUCCAGUCAAAAUCAAGAUCAGGAAAAUCUCGCUGAUCAGCAGAUACCGUUUAUCAGUAGCAACGUCAAUUGUAUUGCUCAUCUAUUCAGUCUGCUUUCAAGUAUGAAACAAACUAUUGCAAGAUACAACAAGUGUGACGAGUCUUCAGAGACCGCUUUGGUAGAAUCAAUCGCAGAGGGACUGUUCUGAUUCUUUUUUUGAGGUAUCUACAUAGUGAUCUGAGGUUUGGUGUGUCUAUUUGAAAACAGAAGAUAAAGUUAGAUAUAUAAAUAAACCUGGGAUAAACUUCUGUAAAAUUUGACUUCUCCCUGAUACUUUAAAAAAUAUAUAUACUACAGCUUGCCCUAUGUGCAGAAAAAUUGCAAGAGAUUUGACAGAAGCAUCAUUAUCAGGUGCAGGAUUGUGUACAGUAGCAGCUCUUGCCAUGAUGUUUUUAACUUGGAAUGAUCGGGAAAGCUUUUUUGAAGCGGCUGAAAGUGUUCCUGGGGUAAAUUUUUUUCAACUUAGUUCUUUGUUAUUUAGAUUUGGUUGUACUGAAUUUAAUUGUGAUUUAUAUUCUUAUCGAUUUUGUGAAGGUUUUGGAUGAAAGAAAGCAGGGAAGUUUUGAUUCUCUCUGAUAUGAAUGUAUUCCUUAAUUAAUGACUAAGAUUGCUUUUGCUACAGUCUUGCAAUUUCAAUUUCAAAAGUGAAGUAGAAUAAAACUUCUGGAUUCUGCCUUACAUGACAGAUUUUGUCUGACCACUUUGGUUGCAAUUUUUGCAUCCCUUGGAUUUUCAGUUAAUGCCAUGGAGAUUGGUGAAUGAGAUUCAUUGAGCUGCUAUGCAGGCUCUUGAUGAGCUCGAGUUAGAGCGAGUUUUAGGAUGAUACUGAAUGUUGGAUUAGCUUUGCAGUAUUGGUGGUUUGGUGUAAGAGUAACUUUAUUUGUUCUUGCCUCUCUAUUCCAGACAUCAUUCCCCAUAUGUAUCAAUCAGUUCAAAAUCCCUCUGUGAAUUUCAGUAUUGGUGGAUAGCAUACAGUCACAUCAUGAAAAGGUCUCCCACUUCCAAUGUCAUGACCGAGACAGAAAUAGGAAGACUUUGAGAAAUACAAAGGAUGCUUAUGCAGAUUGCAUAUUAAAGUUUUGAGUUUUGAAAUUUUUUCUGAUGCAAAGACUAUUAAGGUCGCUUGAAUAUAUGACGAUACUUGGAGCGUCUGUCAAGGAUCUGAACCCAUGAAGUCAAGGUUGCUGUGUUGCCACUUUUGAGAGAUUCUAUUUGUUUCAAGUCCAGAGACAGAGACAGACUGUGAAAGGAAAAAAGGAGUGAUCUAUCUAGAUUUAUUUGACAAGAGGUGUAGAGAUAGAGAGAAAUUGUGAAAGCAGAAGAGGAAUCAGUGUUGGAGAAGAGGCUUCAAACGUAGAAGACAGGACAUCAGUUGAUAGCAGCGCACCAGAAUCAGGACCAAACGAGCUUCUCAUCAACAGCCGAACCAAAGGAUGAUACCUUUGACAAUCUCAUGUAAAGUAACUGGUUUGAAGUAUAAAUGCAGAUUAUUUUGUUAAUAGCUAACUACCUUUGCAAUUAGAGUUUAGGAACUUCGGUUAGAAUGAUCAUUUUUUGAACAAAUGUUGGUUAAUAUACCAUACAAAAAUUGGGGAAAAAUUCAAAUC